CCUACGGGAGGCAGCAGUGAGGAAUAUUGGUCAAUGGGCGCGAGCCUGAACCAGCCAAGUCGCGUGAGGGAAGACGGUCCUAUGGAUUGUAAACCUCUUUUGUCGGGGAGAAAAAGACGCCACGCGUGGCGUUCCGAGAGUACCCGAACAAAAAGCCUCGGCUAACUCCGUGCCGGCAGCCGCGGUAAUACGGCGGAUGCGAGCGUUGUCCGGAUUUAUUGGGUUUAAAGGGUGCGCAGGCGGAAGAUCAAGUCAGCGGGAAAAUUGAGAGGCUCAACCUCGUCUGGCCGUGGAAACGGGUUUUCUGGAGUGAGUGAGAAGUAUGCGGAAUGCGUGGUGUAGCGGUGAAAUGCAUAGAUAUCACGCAGAACUCCGAUUGCGAAGGCAGCAUACCGGCGCUCAACUGACGCUCAUGCACGAAAGUGUGGGUAUCGAACAGGAUUAGAUACCCCAGUAGUC
rnacentral:rRNA from 1 species